UGUAAUUUCCUCUUAUUUUAAAACCUUUUAAGUUUUAACAUAAAAUUCGUUAAUGUCAAUUUCCCUCGUUUACCUUUAAAUUGUCGUCAAAUACUCAAAUGUGGAUGAAAAUAGUUAAAUCAAAAUAUUGUGUUAUAACUAAAAUAAAAAAAAAACUAAAUAUUUUUAAUAAUAAAAAAUCAAUUAAAAUAAAUAGUAAGCCCUUCAAUUAUAUUUUGAACGAAUCAAUCCUUUAACUCAACAUCUAUUAAAUGUCAAUCUUCC
rnacentral:lncRNA from 1 species